GGGGCAGUCGUCUAGCUUGGUCUAGGAUACCAGCCUGGGGCGCUGGUGGUCACGGGUUCAAAUCCCGUCUGCCCCACCA
rnacentral:tRNA from 1 species